rnacentral:lncRNA from 1 species
CUUUCAGCUGGUUGUCUGGGCUUUAAGCUGGAAAGAAACAACUGGUUAACAUGGAGGCCCAGGAAGCUCAGUAUAAUUGCAUGAAAAUUCACAGCGGGAUGCGGCUCAGCAACCCUCCUGCAGCCAGCAGCUGCUACCCUUCCCCUUCUCAAGGGCCAGCCUCCAUUUUCCAAAGAGCACUGUGCUGGCACAGGCCCUGGGGAAG